rnacentral:misc_RNA from 1 species
GAUGAAGAACGCAGCGAAAUGCGAUAAGUAGUGUGAAUUACAGAAUUCAGUGAAUCAUCGAAUCUUUGAACGCACAUUGCGCCUCCUGGUAUUCCGGGAGGCAUGCCUGUUCGAGCGUCAUCAAAAACCUCAACCCAUGAUUUAUUGUGAGUUGGUUCUGCAUUGGACUCCUUGUGGGUCCUUUGCGAAAUCCAAUGGCGAAGAGCCACGCAACCAAAGCGUAGUAUAACUAUUUCGUUAUGGAAGCGUGGGUGCCUCUGCCGUAACCCCCAAUUUCUUAGUUUUUGACCUCGGAUCAGGUAGGGAUACCCGCUGAACUUAAGCAUAUCAAUAAGCGGAGGA